CAGUCGCCGCGGGAAUACGGAAGGUCCAGGCGUUAUCCGGACUUAUUGGGUUUAAAGGGAGUGUAGGCGGUCUGUUAAGCGUGUUGUGAAAUUUAGGUGCUCAACAUUUAACUUGCAGCGCGAACUGGCGGACUUGAGUGCACGCAACGUAUGCGGAAUUCAUGGUGUAGCGGUGAAAUGCUUAGAUAUCAUGACGAACUCCGAUUGCGAAGGCAGCGUACGGGAGUGUUACUGACGCUUAAGCUCGAAGGUGCGGGUAUCGAACAGGAUUAGAUACCCGAGUAGUCCCUGUCUCUUAUAC
rnacentral:rRNA from 1 species